rnacentral:rRNA from 1 species
AUCAUUACAAGUGACCCCGGUCUAACCACCGGGAUGUUCAUAACCCUUUGUUGUCCGACUCUGUUGCCUCCGGGGCGACCCUGCCUUCGGGCGGGGGCUCCGGGUGGACACUUCAAACUCUUGCGUAACUUUGCAGUCUGAGUAAACUUAAUUAAUAAAUUAAAACUUUUAACAACGGAUCUCUUGGUUCUGGCAUCGAUGAAGAACGCAGCGAAAUGCGAUAAGUAAUGUGAAUUGCAGAAUUCAGUGAAUCAUCGAAUCUUUGAACGCACAUUGCGCCCCCUGGUAUUCCGGGGGGCAUGCCUGUUCGAGCGUCAUUUCACCACUCAAGCCUCGCUUGGUAUUGGGCAUCGCGGUCCGCCGCGUGCCUCAAAUCGACCGGCUGGGUCUUCUGUCCCCUAAGCGUUGUGGAAACUAUUCGCUAAAGGGUGUUCGGGAGGCUACGCCGUAAAACAACCCCAUUUCUAAGGUUGACC